GAGUUGAUAAUGGCUCAGAACGAACGUUAUCGUUAUGGUUAAAACAUGCAAGUCGAACGGACUAAUUGGGGCUUGCUCCAAUUAGUUAGUGGCAGACGGGUGAGUAACACGUGGGAAUCUACCCAUCAGUACGGAAUAACUUUUAGAAAUAAAAGCUAAUACCGUAUAUUCUCUACGGAGGAAAGAUUUAUCGCUGAUGGAUGAGCCCGCGUCAGAUUAGGUAGUUGGUGAGGUAAUGGCUCACCAAGCCGACGAUCUGUAGAUGGUUUGAGAGGAUGAUCAGCCACACUGGGACUGAGACACGGCCCAGACUCUUACGGGAGGCAGCAGUGGGGAAUAUUGGACAAUGGGCGGAAGCCUGAUCCAGCAAUACCGAGUGAGUGAUGAAGGCCUUAGGGUUGUAAAACUCUUUUAGCAAGGAAGAUAAUGACGUUACUUGCAGAAAAAGCCCCGGCUAAAUCCGUGCCAGCAGCCGCGGUAAGACGGGGGGGGCUAGCGUUGUUCGGAAUUACUGGGCGUAAAGAGUGCGUAGGCGGUUUAGUAAGUUGGAAGUGAAAGCCCGGGGCUUAACCUCGGAAUUGCUUUCAAAACUACUAAUCUAGAGUGUAGUAGGGGAUGAUGGAAUUCCUAGUGUAGAGGUGCCCCUCUUAGAUAUUAGGAGGACCACCCGGUGGCGAAGGCGGUCAUCUGGGCUACAACUGACGAUAAUGCACGAAAGGGUGGGGAGCNNACAGGAUU
rnacentral:rRNA from 2 species